rnacentral:rRNA from 1 species
GAUGAACGCUGGCGGCGUGCCUAAUACAUGCAAGUCGAGCGAAUGGAUUAAGAGCUUGCUCUUAUGAAGUUAGCGGCGGACGGGUGAGUAACACGUGGGUAACCUGCCCAUAAGACUGGGAUAACUCCGGGAAACCGGGGCUAAUACCGGAUAACAUUUUGAACCGCAUGGUUCGAAAUUGAAAGGCGGCUUCGGCUGUCACUUAUGGAUGGACCCGCGUCGCAUUAGCUAGUUGGUGAGGUAACGGCUCACCAAGGCAACGAUGCGUAGCCGACCUGAGAGGGUGAUCGGCCACACUGGGACUGAGACACGGCCCAGACUCCUACGGGAGGCAGCAGUAGGGAAUCUCCCGCAAUGGACGAAAGUCUGACGGAGCAACGCCGCGUGAGUGAUGAAGGCUUUCGGGUCGUAAAACUCUGUUGUUAGGGAAGAACAAGUGCUAGUUGAAUAAGCUGGCACCUUGACGGAACCUAACCAGAAAGCCACGGCUAACUACGUGCCAGCAGCCGCCGCGG